AAGUGGUCCCCUGCGGUGGUCCUGGACAGGGCUGCACAGAGCAGAAGGCCUGAGGGCCCGGGGAGAGAUAGAGAAAGAGACUGUCAGGGAGAGGGACACUGAGUGGGUGGUGGGGGGAUUGGGCAAGUCCUGGAAAGUGAGAAGAACCAAGAGAGGGAGAGGGGGUAAAGAAAAGCAGAGACAAAAAGGAGUUGGAAGGAUGAAAAGCAGUUGCUGGUCUAGGUGUGUGGAGGUGGACCAUGGGCCAGGGGAAGGAGGUCUAGGUAGGUGCUCUGAGCGUUGGGACCUGAGAAGGCGGGAAUCCAGGGCAUCAGAUUUCCCUGAGCCCAAAGCUCCAACCUCUCUGGGGCAGAGCUGUGCAGAGGCCGUUUCACAGAAGGAUGAUGGGCACCCCUCCUUUUGCAUGGGGUUGUGGGGCCGAGCCUCAGGAUCUGUCAUUGAGAGAGAUGGCUUGGGUGGACCAGAGCACCCUCAGUCCCUCCGUCUGAGGGGCCAUGACUUUGAGCAUUGCAGGGAAUCCCGGGGAGGCCAGCAGAGGGCGCGCCCGCACCUCCAACAGGAAGGGGGGCGGUUUCUCUGCGUGCGCAGCCACGGCCAGCAGAGGGCGCGCCAUGACCUUUUCUGACACAGGGCGCCUCAGAGCAGGAAGGGCUCCGGAAGCCUCCCAAGGAUCCAGCCCCUCCCUGGCUGCCUGGGAUAGAGCGCCAAAGCUGCGGAUUCAGUAGGUUUUGCCGCCACCCUGGGAAGACCCUGGGGCCUUUGCAGCGACUUGUCGCCUCCUGAGGUACCACGGAGAAGCUGCCUUGUUGGCUGAGUGCUGAGGGGGCAGCUCUGGGAGGCUUCCCAGGACAUGCUGAUGCAGGCUUGUUUCUGGGGAGAAAUCAUGAGCCAAAUUCAGAGGAACUGGAGCUGCAUUCAUUUGGGACAGGAAUACAUGAACUACUGACUCUCAGGACCUUCUAGAAGAACGAGCUGCGGUCCACUUCCCGAGCUCUGCAGGAACUGCUGCCCAAGGAUCCCACUGUGUUUAAAGAAAGUCUCCAGACCACUUCUCAAUGUGAGUAACAUGGUACUAAACAAAAUUUGUGAAUCACUGUUUGGAGAAAAAGCACGAUGGUAUUCUUUAAUCUGCUAAAAUUGAUGCUUCCAUCCACUGAUCUUGCGUUUCCAACUUUUUUAUUUUCCCUUUUUAUUUUCUAAUUAAGAUAUUUAUAUAUCUUCCUGAGUUUUACAUUCCUCACACGCACUUUCAGGUUUCCUUUCUGUCACCGUAAGAAAGAGGACAGGCCUUUUGAUGAGCAUGCAGCUUUGUGUCACUUCAGUUGUUGUUGUUGUAGAUCUUCAUUAACUUUUCCCACCCAGUUGAAAAUAUUAUCCAGUUUUGACAAGUUACAUAAAAAAAUGUAACCUAUGUGCAUCAGUAUGAUUUCAUUAUAAUGUUUCUUCAUUUGAUAUUUUAUGUAUAUGUCUGAAACAUGAGACUAUCUCACAAGUUUAUUGAAUUUGGUAGAAGUAUAUAUCCUAGUUUUGAAAUUUUUGAGGCUUGCAUAUUUGAAUUCAUAAAUGGAGAUUAUUAGCACUUAAAUUAGGGUUAUUUGCUGCAUAAGACACAAGUGGGUGUAAUCAUUUUGGGGGAAGGAAGGAUGUCUUCUCUUUUACACACAUGGCAUCGUUGCACCACAGUCAUACAUCUGGAUAUGAGCAAUUAUUUUUUUCUUUUUAGACUUUUAUUUAAAUUCUAGUUAGUUGGAUGCCUGGGUGGCUCAGUCGGUUAAGCAUCUGCGCUCAGCCCAGGUCUUUAUCCCAGGGUCCUGGG